UUUUGUUUAAAAAUUGUUUCAAUUCAAAAUGUAUUGAUCACAAUUGUAUUUUAUUUAAUUGAGGUUAUUAUUAUAUUUUUAAUAGAAUAAUUGUGAAACAUAUUGAGCUCCACAGCAGAGGCCUCCUUUUCUCUGAAAUUAAUAUUAUGUUGUGCUAAGGACUGAAAAACAUAUUGGUUUAAACACAAAGGUAAAUAAUUGGUAGUGUGGUUAAUACAGUGUUCUUAUCAUAAUUCAUUAUGUUUUGCUUUUUUCAGUUCAAAGAUGCCACGUAAAGAAAGACGGCAGAAACAAAAAAGAAAAGAAUUGAUAGAUGCAGCAAAAGGUAGUGGAUUGUUGACCGACUGGGUCAGAACGAGUACUGCAGAUGGACAGAAGGAAAGUGAUAGAUCAGAGGAGGAGACAAAAAUGCAGUCAACAACACAGGAAGACAGGCAAGGAGAGGGACAACAGUCAGAAAUAAACACUAUGGAUGAAAAUGCAGAGCAACAAGUCAGAGAGAAGCCAUUCAUAUUUUUAAUGGACCUUCCACACCCAAAUGACCCAGCACAUGUCUUGCAAUUCAACAUAAAAUAUGAUGAAGCAUUUAUCCAAAAUUGUGUAAACCAAGGACCAUGCCAACCAGAGCUGUCAUUUCCUAAAAAUGAAGAAGGAAGGUCUUUUCAGAAUAAAUGGUAUAAGAGUAA